rnacentral:lncRNA from 1 species
UCAACUGAGCAGUCUUCUGCAAAUUCACCUUGGUUUCGUUGUCUGUUCGACCUUGAUUGAUCAUUUGUUAGAACUGUAUCAAGAGCCCUAGAUCAGAUGCUCUUUGAAACAAGCAAAUAAAUAAAUAAGGCAAUAGGAUCCAGAAGAAUUAGAUUAUAUCAGAUUAGAUUCAUCUUUAAACCAAAAAACCUUAAGUUGACUCUCCCCAUUUCCUAUUCUCAUCUUAAGUAUUAAUAGGUGCAACACGUAUAUACAAGUUACCUAGGAAUUAAGUUUGGUAAAAGCAUUCAUCGCACUGUAUAAACACAAUCAUAGCUUUGAGGUGUCUAUUAUUGUUACAAUUCUAAUAGUUUCCGUACGUAGAUUGGCAUGAUAAAUCCACAAUAGCUUUGCAUUUUUAGCUAAAAAGUAAGUACAAACUGAAAAAAGAUAUGUCUUUGUCAAUAUGGAGUUGUAGUUUGUGAUCUGAUCCUUAAUCAGGACUAAGACAGUACUUACCUUUGUCGAUCCAUCAAAAAGAAGCUCUUUUCUUUGUCUAUACGCUGUUUGCUAUUUUGAUAACCGAGAUCUUAAAUUUUUGUGAAUAAUGGAGAGGAAGAACCAAUUAUUGCAAAAUGCAAAGUCGAUUAAAAGAAAACAUCCUUUAGACUAGACUAAGCAAUACGGCAUGAGUUACGCCCGUUAGACUACACUAAGCAACACGUCAUGUGUUGGGAUUGUCCUUGGUUGUUAAAGAGUAAGUUUCAAAUCUUUUUAAUUUAAUAAGUCAAUUAUAAAGAUUUUUGUGAAUUUAAAAAAAAAAAAAAGAAGAAUUUAUGGGAAGGCCAACAUUAAAGUAAAAACUCAUUUGGUGCAAAAAGAAGAAUUCAAAUUCAAGAUCUUUCAC